GACGAACGCUGGCGGCGUGCUUAACACAUGCAAGUCGAACGGAAAGGCCCUGCUUUUGUGGGGUGCUCGAGUGGCGAACGGGUGAGUAACACGUGAGUAACCUGCCCUUGACUUUGGGAUAACUUCAGGAAACUGGGGCUAAUACCGGAUAGGAGCUCCUGCUGCAUGGUGGGGGUUGGAAAGUUUCGGCGGUUGGGGAUGGACUCGCGGCUUAUCAGCUUGUUGGUGGGGUAGUGGCUUAACAAGGCUUUGACGGGUAGCCGGCCUGAGAGGGUGACCGGCACCAUUGGGACGGAGCGCCGGACAACGUCAGGAGGGGAGGGAGGCGUAGGCAGAAUCGAACGAGGGGCGGAAGCGUUCGGCGGCAGGGCCGCGGCCGGGUUGCCGGCCUUCGUGUUGUAUCGCGCGUUCGCGUGUGACGAAGCGUGAGAGAAGGAGAUGCGAAAAAACGCACCGUCUACCUUCGGACCAGCCGCCGCGGUAAUAAGCGGAACAGCACACGUAUGAUC
rnacentral:rRNA from 1 species